AUGAGAGAACAAAAGGAUACUCACUUGACAAACAUAACACUUGUCCCCAAACCAGACAUGGAUAUGAGAAGAGCUUUCGCCUGCACCCUGCUACUGGCGGCACUGUCGCCUCUUUCCGAGGCGGAUGCGUCGAGCAAACUCUAUAUAGUGUACAUGGGGGAGAAGAAACAUGAUGAUCCAUCCAUGGUCACCGCGUCACACCACGACAUACUAACCUCCGUUUUUGGGAGCAAGAACGAAGCCAUGAAGUCGAUAGUUUACAGCUACAGGCACGGAUUUUCUGGCUUUGCCGCCAUGCUCACCGACUCUCAAGCUGCGACACUUGCAAAAUGUUCUGAUGUUGUCAGUGUGAGGCCCAACAUUUACCACGAAGCGCACACGACUCGGAGCUGGGACUUCCUCGGCCUUGACCACGACCAACCGCCAGAGGAUUCAGGCCUCCUGCAAAAGGCAAAGUACGGUGAAGAUGUCAUCAUCGGGGUGAUGGAUUCAGGGAUAUGGCCUGAAUCACGAAGCUUUGACGACAGCGGCUAUGGUCCGGUACCGGCGAGGUGGAGAGGCACAUGCCAGGCCGGACAGCAGUUCGACGCCACGAGUUGCAACAGAAAGAUCAUCGGCGCACGAUGGUUCAGCGAUGACAUGAGCGAUGAGGAGCUCAAGGGCGAGUACAUGUCGCCCAGGGACCUCAGCGGCCACGGCACGCACGUCGCCUCGACCAUCGCCGGCGGGCAGGUUCCGAACGUGAGCUACGGAGGCCUUGCCGCCGGGGUGGCACGCGGCGGGGCGCCACGCGCCAGACUGGCAAUCUACAAGGUGUUGUGGGGGGCACGUGGAUCGGGCUCCCACGCGGGGGUCCUUGCGGCCCUCGACCACGCCAUAGACGACGGCGUGGACGUGCUGUCACUUUCGCUGGGACAGGCAGGCAGCGAGCUCUUUGAGACGCUGCACGCCGUCGAGAGAGGGAUCUCCGUCGUGUUCUCUGCCGGGAACGGCGGACCUGUGCCGCAAACGGCGUGGAAUGCUGUGCCUUGGGUCACCACGGUGGCUGCUAGCACCAUAGACCGGUCUUUCCCUACAAUGAUAUCGCUCGGGAGUAAACAAAAGUUAAUGGGGCAAUCUCUUCAGAACAAUGCAUCUAUGAACAUCAGUGACUUUAAGACCCUUGUUUACGCGAGGAGCUGUAGCAUGCAGUCGCUUGCGUCAAGCAACAUCACCGGUAAAAUUGUUCUGUGCUAUGCACCGGCAGAGGCGGCCAUUACACCACCUCGGCUAGCACUUCCUAUUGUCAUAAAUUGUACAAUGGAGGCCGGCGCGAAGGGCCUUAUCUUUGCACAAUAUGAUGCCAACAUCCUUGACAUCUUGACCAUGUGUAAAGGCAACAUGGCAUGUGUAGUGGUGGACUUCGAAAUCGCGCACACAAUUCUCGCAUAUUUGGAUAAAACAAAGAAUCCAGUGGUGAAGGUGUCUCCUGCCAUGAGUGUUAUUGGGAACCAAGUGUUGUCGCCGAUGGUCGCCUCAUUCUCAUCAAGAGGCCCGAGUGCCGCGUUCCCAGGAAUACUCAAGCCAGAUGUUGCUGCACCUGGGGUCAGCAUCUUGGCAGCCAAGGGCAACACUUAUGUGUUCAUGUCCGGGACAUCCAUGGCGUGUCCGCAUGUAUCCGCGGUGGUUGCACUACUUAAGUCAGCUCACCCGGAUUGGUCCCCUGCCAUGAUAAAGUCUGCCAUCAUCACUACAGCUUCCAUGACCGAUCAUUUCGGUGUGCUGAUCCAAGCAGAGGGUGUCCCGAGGAAACUAGCCGCCCCAUUCGACUUUGGCGGUGGCCAUAUAGAUCCAGAUAAGGCCAUUGACCCUGGCUUGGUUUACGGCAUGAAUGCAAGAGAUUACAACAAGUUCUUAAAUUGCACCAAUGAAUUGUUAGAUGACUGUAAGUUCUAUAUCAGCAAUCUUAACCUCCCAUCAAUCGCCAUGCCAGACAUCAUAGACAAUAUCACAGUCCGGCGCACUGUCAUGAAUGUUGGGCCAGUUGAAGCAACUUACCGAGUGACGGUUGAGGCUCCCGCAGGUAUAAUCGUAACUGUGGAGCCAUCUAUGAUCAGUUUUACAAGAGGUGGUAGCAAAAGCAUGAUGUUUACGGUGAUGUUCAUAGCAAGGAAGAGAGUGCAAGGUGGGUACACCUUUGGGAGUUUGACAUGGUCGGAUGAAAAUACCCACUCAGUGAGAAUUCCUAUUGCAGUGCAAACCGUUGUACAAGACUUUGUGAGAGAUACAUCAUAA
rnacentral:rRNA from 1 species